UCUAGUUACUAAGCAUCUAAUUUGAAUCAACUGUGGGAAAAGAAAGCAUUGAAGGUGCUGUGACACCUGGAAAUUGUCUGAAUGAAAACAAUUCUGAUACUUGUGUAGCAUUUGGUGUCUAUUGUAAAUCUGGCAAACCUGCCUAAAGAAAUGUGUACAGAACAGACGGAAUCUUUAACUUAUCUGCAGUGGCUCCACUGGCUAAACUUGCACUCUCUGCUAAUGGUCUGCCCUAACCAGAAAUAUGCUGAUGUCCAGCCACAUCUCUAAGACAAGGAUGAUAGCUGCUUGACCUCCAGCUGUUGCUGUUCUUCAAGUUACAGCUGUUUUCAGCAAGGAUGGUAUUAGCGGACCUCUAACCCCCUGAAAGGAAAUCAAGACAGAGAAAGGAAGGAUGGACCAUUGGGCUUGGAAUGUGCAGUGCUACUUUAAGGACUUUUACACUUUUGAAGCCAUUUUCACAAAAGGAAAUGUUAACAGUCUGCCACUGAGAAGGCAACUGAGUACCCCAGCAAAACUUAGAACUGCAUGGUCAGAUACAGAUGAAAAUCUUCAAACAGUUGCCUUAAG
ensembl:lncRNA